UCUUUUUGGCCAUGUUAUAUGUUGUUUCAGUUUGGCCAUGUUACAUUUAUAAGACCUCGUGACAUGUUAUACUUAUAAGUUGUCUCCCCUGCCGUAAAUACCUCCCUUAGAUUUGAUGCCAAUGUUCAUUUUAUUUGCAGAUUGGAAUAAAGGUUUGAGAAGAAAUUUAACUUAAGUUCAUCAGUAGCUUCAGCCUACAUUGGUUAAGUUAAUUUUAUUAUCAUUGUUUUCUUUUUGGACUGUUUAAGUGUUAGCAUAUACUAAUGUCUGCUUUUGAAAUGGUUUCAGAGUGAUGUAUAAACUUUGGUAGAAUUAGAAGAAUAUGAAUGAGUUGCUUCAUUACUUGAUGAAGAGAGGAAACUGCUUAAAAUUUGUAGAACCAGAAGAGUAAUCAAGAGCUACUUCUAAUUGAUGAGAAGGAC
rnacentral:lncRNA from 1 species